AUUGAACGCUGGCGGCAUGCUUUACACAUGCAAGUCGAACGGUAGAGGGGGCAACCCCUUGAGAGUGGCGAACGGGUGAGUAAUGCAUCGGAACGUGCCCAGUCGUGGGGGAUAACGCAGCGAAAGCUGUGCUAAUACCGCAUACGAUCUCUGGAUGAAAGCGGGGGACCGAAAGGCCUCGCGCGAUUGGAGCGGCCGAUGUCAGAUUAGGUAGUUGGUGGGGUAAAGGCUCACCAAGCCAACGAUCUGUAGCUGGUCUGAGAGGACAACCAGCCACACUGGGACUGAGACACGGCCCAGACUCCUGCGGGAGGCAGCGGUGGGGAAUUUUGGACAAUGGGCGCAAGCCUGAUCCAGCAAUGCCGCGUGCAGGAAGAAGGCCUUCGGGUUGUAAACUGCUUUUGUACGGAACGAAAAGGUCUGGGUUAAUACCCUGGGCACAUGACGGUACCGUAAGAAUAAGCACCGGCUAACUACGUGCCAGCCGCCGCGGUAA
rnacentral:rRNA from 1 species